rnacentral:tRNA from 1 species
GGUGCUGUGGCUCAGUGGUAGAGCGUUAGCCUUGAGCUGAAGAGCUGAGGGACAGCACCC